AGUGAACGCUGGCGGUAGGCCUAACACAUGCAAGUCGAACGGCAGCACAGUAGGAGCUUGCUCUUACGGGUGGCGAGUGGCGGACGGGUGAGGAAUACAUCGGAAUCUACUUUUUCGUGGGGGAUAACGUAGGGAAACUUACGCUAAUACCGCAUACGACCUACGGGUGAAAGCAGGGGAUCUUCGGACCUUGCGCGAUUGAAUGAGCCGAUGUCGGAUUAGCUAGUUGGCGGGGUAAAGGCCCACCAAGGCGACGAUCCGUAGCUGGUCUGAGAGGAUGAUCAGCCACACUGGAACUGAGACACGGUCCAGACUCCGACGGGAGGCAGCAGUGGGGAAUAUUGGACAAUGGGCGCAAGCCUGAUCCAGCCAUACCGCGUGGGUGAAGAAGGCCUUCGGGUUGUAAAGCCCUUUUGUUGGGAAAGAAAAGCAGCAGGUUAAUACCCCGCUGUUCUGACGGUACCCAAAGAAUAAGCACCGGCUAACUUCGG
rnacentral:rRNA from 1 species